UUGGAAGUUGACACAAUGAACAGCAGAGAGCAAAGAUUCUAAUUGGAUGUUUGUAUUUAUUUUAUAAUUUACUCUAAAAAAUUUUAGAUAUAAAAAGGGACUCCCACUAUUUUAUCAGAUCUCCCAUACUCUUCGGAUGGAGAAAUAAAAACCCUGAUAUGAUAAUUGGAUUUCUAGUGAGUGCUACGAUCCCACCAAUAUCGUGCA
rnacentral:lncRNA from 1 species